rnacentral:rRNA from 1 species
GAUGAACGCUGGCGGCGUGCCUAACACAUGCAAGUCGAGCGAGAAGUUUGAAAAAUGAGUUUUCGAACAAGUGAUUCAAACGGAAAGCGGCGGACGGGUGAGUAACGCGUAGGCAACCUGCCCCGUGCAGAGGGACAGCCUCGGGAAACCGGGAUUAAGACCUCAUGAUAUCGGGUUAUCACAUGGUAAUCCGGUCAAAGAUUUAUCGGCAUGGGAUGGGCCUGCAUCUGAUUAGCUGGUUGGUGGGGUAACGGCCUACCAAGGCGACGAUCAGUAGCAGAACUGAGAGGUUCAUCUGCCACAUUGGAACUGAGACACGGUCCAAACUCCUACGGGAGGCAGCAGUGAGGAAUAUCGCACAAUGGGCGAAAGCCUGAUGCAGCAACGCCGCGUGAGCGAAGAAGGCCUUUGGGUCGUAAAGCUCUGUCCUUGGGGAAGAAACAAAUGACGGUACCCUUGGAGGAAGCCCCGGCUAACUACGUGCCAGCCGCCGCCGUAA